AGGACGAACGCUGGCGGCGUGCUUAACACAUGCAAGUCGAGCGGAAAGGCCCUUCGGGGUACCCGAGCGGCGAACGGGUGAGUAACACGUGAGUAAUCUGCCCCUAGCUCUGGGAUAGCUCCGGGAAACCGGGAUUAAUACCGGAUACGACCACUUUAGACAUCUGUUGUGGUGGAAAGAAUUUUGGCUAGGGAUGAGCUCGCGGCCUAUCAGCUUGUUGGUGGGGUAACGGCCUACCAAGGCGACGACGGGUAGCCGGCCUGAGAGGGCGACCGGCCACACUGGGACUGAGACACGGCCCAGACUCCUACGGGAGGCAGCAGUGGGGAAUAUUGCGCAAUGGGCGAAAGCCUGACGCAGCGACGCCGCGUGGGGGAUGAAGGCCUUCGGGUUGUAAACCCCUUUCAGCAGGGACGAAGCGAAAGUGACGGUACCUGCAGAAGAAGCGCCGGCUAACUACGCGCCAGCAGCCGC
rnacentral:rRNA from 1 species